rnacentral:lncRNA from 1 species
GAGGGUGUCUUCUUAUAUGGACUCUUGAGAACUGGAAACUGAAGAAAAAGAAAGAUAAGUUUGGGUUUAAGAAAAUGAGAUUAUGAGCAACGUGUUAAAAAAUGAUAUAUUAGUAAAAUCUGAAGAUCUAUCCCCACACCAUAACAUUAGGCUAAGCUUAGUCAAAAACCAAGGCUCUUUUAGUUUUAAUUAUUGGAUGUAUAUGAAAAAGGGAGAUCUAAGAAGAUAAUGAUUAAAUUAGUCAAAUAAUACAAAAACAAAAUCUAGAUAGAGAUAUUGAGAGUGUGAUGCUAAUUUAAGAAAAAAUAAUCAUAAAUUAUAGGUGUUUAUUAUCAAACAAAGCAUCAGAGGAGGACGCGUGUGCAUAAAAUAAUUAUAUAUAUACAUAUAUUUAAUGAAAAUGCAUAGCCUAAAUUGUUAAAAAUGGUGAACAUUAAUAGGGUUUAGUAAAUAACAAUAUCUAACAAAAAAAAUAUAAAUAUAACCAUAGGAAUAUAUAUUAAUGAUAAAAAAUAAAUUUGAAUAGACAAAACACAUAAACAGUUAAAAUUAGUAAUAAUUUAAUAGAUUUAUAUUAAGAGAGGAAAAUAAUGUGUGUGAGUUCUUGUGUUUGAUAACAAUUUCAAGACCAAGGAGACAAUAUUAUAUCAAAGUCCAAUAAUACUAAUUCAGGUUCACUCACAUGUUCCUAUUGUUAUAAAUGAUCAAGUGAAAACUGCGGAGGUUUCAUAAAUAUCUGCGCCUAGUGCUUGCCACACUGCCGCUGGUUUAGUCAUUGAUACUCCAGUUAACUGAUAUUUUGCUUCUAAUGUCGCUGCUCCUAUUGCAAUCACAACUGUUUCACUCUCACAAGGUGCACUGUUUCACUCUCACAAGGUGCACAAUCUGAUAAGGCAAAACCAGUCACUCCAACCAAUACUGCAUUUGACUAUUUUCCGACAUCGCUACUUUUGCCUUACCACCACAAUGCUAGUACAUAUUCUGGCGCAAAAAUCAAAUCUAGUUGAGUAACUUCUUUACAACUGUCAAUGCAAGAAAAAAAAUCUAAAAAAGAUCAGUAAAUUUGAAAUACAUUUUUUUUAAGUUAGGGUCGACUCUGUGUGUAUGUAUAUUAGCUGGUAUAUGAUCAGGGUUGGAAGUGUUUGAUCUCAUUAUUUGUGUCUGGUUUAGAAGAACAAAAGGGUAGAUACGUGGGAAAUCAAUAAUUAUAAUCUGGAUCA